rnacentral:rRNA from 1 species
GUGAUGCUGGCGGCGUGCCUUAGGCUGCAAGUCAAGGGGGCUCCGCAAGGAGCAACCGGCAGACGGGUGAGUAACGCGUAGGAAUCUACCUCUAGGUGGAACAUAGCUGUCCGAAAGGAUGGGUAAUUUUCCAUAGUCUCGUAAGAGUAAAGGACUUAACGGUCCGCCAAGAGAGGAGCCUGCGUCCUAUCAGCUUGUUGGUGGGGUAAAAGCCUACCAAGGCGAUGACGGGUAGCUGGACUGAGAGGUUCCGGAAUCCAAGCCCACAAACUGCACUGAAACACAGGCAGUACACCUACGGGUGGCAGCAACCGGGAAUAUUGCGCAAUGGGGGAAACCCUGACGCAGCGACGCCGCGUGAUGGAAGAAGGCCUAUGGGUUGUAAACAUCUUUUGCUAAGCCGUUCACAGCUUAGAGAAUAAGCCUCUACUAACUACGUGCCAGAAGUCUCGGUAAUACGUAGGAGGCAAGCAUUAUCCGGAUUUAUUG